UUUCAUUCUUCUCUUUGGCCCUGGAAAGAAGCGAUAAAACUUGCAAGAUGGCGUCUCAAUGAAAAAUUCGUGCAUUCGUUUCAGAUAAUAAUAAUUAUUAUAAUCAUUGGUAAUUAUUCGGACCGUUGGAAUUGUUGUGCGAAGGCUUGUCUGUUGUGCUUCUAUCAAUUAUUUCCUAAACUUCAUUAUGGGUACGUCAGAUUUAGAAGACCCCGAGUGUAAAAGAGAACCCUUAGGAUUAGAUUCUGAUACAGAUGGAAUGACUGAUCAGAGAAAGAAAAAGAAAAGAAAACACAAGCAUCAUAAGCAUAAGAAAGAAAAAUUAAUUGAAAGAGAAGACGAACGAUUGGAUAGGCAAGAAAGACGGAAGCAUAAGAAACAUAAGAGGCAGAAAAAAGAUAAGGAAAUAGAAAAUGGUAUAGACGAGAAAUUAAUCUCUAAUGUAAUACAUAAAGAAGUUGGUAUGAAUGGAAAAACAAAAACCUCUGUAUUAGAAGUUGUUUCUACGGAAGAAAGCGAAGAUGAAAAGUUAGUUGACUUAGAUUCGGAUGAAGUAGAUUGUACAAUCAUAGAAGAUGAUAUUGAUCUUGAAGAAUUAAUGAAACAAAAGGAAUUACUGCAAGCAUGUUUAGUACAAUAUCUCUCGGAUGAAUCUGAGAAAGGAGAAGAUAAAGAGUUACAAGAAGAAGAAACAAAAAUGACAGAAACACCUGAUGUAAUACUAGUGGAAGAUGAUAGCGAUACUAAUGAUGUACCAUUGAAGAAAAGAACCAGGAGCAAAUCAGGCAGUAGAGAACGUAAGAAAGUGACAAAAGUUGAAAGACGCGUUAUAGUUGAUAUGACUAGAGACAGAAAAACUCGCGAACAGCAUAAAGAUAAGAGAAGAGAUUCCGAUAGGAAAAAAGAUGAGAAAGUCCGUCCUAGAGAGGAAGGAAAGAAAGAAGAAACUCGAAAAGAUGAUAGAGCUUCACGAAAGACUAGCGAAAGGCAAAAGGAAGAUACAAGAAAGGAUGAAUCCAAUAGAAAAGCAGACGAAGACCAGCAAAGGCGUAAAGAUAUACCAAAAAGAGACGAGACACGGAAAAGAGAAUCAGACAGACGUGAAGAGAAUCGGAGACGAGAACCAACUCGUCAUAGCUCAAAAACUCGUAACAACGAGGCAAAGAAUUCAGAUAGUAAAAGUCGCGACAGAUUAGGAAGUCGCGAACAUCAAGACAGUCGCGAUCAACACAUUAAUCACGAUCGACGUAGUCGCGAUAGACCAUCAAGUAAAGAGCCUCGUCGUCACGCUAGUCGUGAUAAGAGAGAUAGUCGAAGUAAAGAUCGACAUGGAAAUAGAGAUAGACGUGAUGGUAGUCGCGAUCGGCGAGAUCGGUAUCAUGAUCAUCGAAUUGAGGAUCGAUCUCGCAGUAGCGUGAGGAAAUCACGUAGUCCUAUUCGAAGCAGAAUGGAAAGAGAACGAAAUGAUCGAUAUAAGAGAUCUAGAUCACCCUCCCGAAGUCACAGAGAUCGGGAUAAGCAACAACAAGUUAGGGACCAUGGCAGAGACCGUGAAAAAGAUAGAAACAACAAAAGGGAGCGUAAUGAUAAAUAUAAGGAUUCUUUAUCAGAAGGUCUGAAAGUAGAACAUUCGGACAGUUCAAGCGAAGAGGAUAUUAAAGAUAUCAAUAUCGAAGAAGAGGAGGACGAAGAAGCGAUUAUAGAACGUCGACGAAAACAAAGAGAAGAAUUGCUUAAAAGACUUAGUGGACCAAACGAGGAUUCCAAUAUGUCUGCUGACAUAAAUGUUGCUGCUUCUCCAGAAAGCCAAUCUAAUAUAUCACAAAAAUCUAUAGAAAUUCCAUCCAAUAAUAAUGAAUCUAUAUUGGAGAGCCAUACUCCACCACUGCCCACAGAUAAAUUAGAAUCUCCGCCUCCGGCCAAAAAAAGAAGAUCUAGAUUCGACGAUGCAUCGCCCAAUGAAUCUGAUAAAAUCGGGAACAUCAAAAUAUCUGAGAAGUUUAAACAGGAGGAAAAGCAAACUUCAAAAAAAUCGAACGAAUGGGAUAUGUUUGCAGAAGCAGAUAAUAUCGGAGAUUUUAAUAGCCCAACAGUUGAAGGAAAACGUCAAGGAGGACCAGAUAAUCCUAGUUUAACGGAUAACUGGGAUGAUGCCGAAGGAUAUUAUCGCGUACGCGUUGGAGAAACACUAGAUGCGCGAUACGUAGUUUAUGGGUAUACAGGACAAGGUGUAUUUAGCAAUGUUGUAAGAGCGAGAGACAGUGCUAGAGGAAAUUUGGAUGUAGCUGUGAAAAUUAUAAGAAACAAUGAGAUAAUGCAUAGAACCGGUUUAAAAGAGCUAGAAAUCCUUAGAAAACUGAACGAUGCUGAUCCAGAAGACAGAUUUCAUUGCUUGCGUCUAUUUAGGCAUUUCUUUCACAAAAACCAUUUGUGUAUGGUUUUUGAACCUUUAGCUAUGAAUUUAAGAGAGGUUUUAAAAAAAUAUGGCAAAGAUGUUGGUUUACAUGUUAAAGCGGUAAGGUCGUAUACGCAGCAACUUUUUCUAGCACUAAAGUUAUUAAAACGUGCAAAUAUUCUGCAUGCUGAUAUCAAACCGGAUAAUAUUCUAGUCAGUGAAAGCAAGUUAGUGUUGAAACUUUGUGAUUUUGGUUCCGCAUCGCACGCCCAUGAAAAUGAAAUAACACCAUACUUGGUCUCAAGAUUUUAUCGUGCGCCCGAAAUUAUUCUUGGUAUACCAUAUGAUUUUGGCAUUGACAUGUGGUCUGUGGGGUGCACCAUAUACGAACUUUACACGGGGAAGAUAAUGUUUUCGGGAAAAACGAACAACCAAAUGUUAAAGUACUUUAUGGAUCUAAAGGGCAAGAUGCCGAAUAAACUAAUUCGAAAGGGAACAUUUAAGGAUCAACAUUUUGACAGUAACUGCAGUUUCCUGUAUCACGAGGUUGAUAAAGUUACGGAACGGGAAAAGGUUGUCGUAAUGUCGACACUGCCAGCGACUCGCGAUCUCAGCGCGGAACUCGGUGGGAAUUCUUUACCACCAGAACAAAAUCGCAAAGUUGGACAACUGAAGGAUUUGCUGGAGCGAACACUGAUGCUGGAUGCGGGGAAGAGGAUCACAGUAAAUCACGCUCUGGCGCAUCCCUUUAUACAAGAAAAAAUAUAGAUGUGUCUUCGAUUCAAAUCAUCGUUAAGUGCGGCCGGACCUUUCAAGGGCCUUUAGCGCCGAUCCCGUUACAAGCCCUCCCUUGUGAGGAGGGGAGGCAAUGGAAGAAGUGAUGAUGAAUACGAUUGAUGAGGAGGAGAGGAAAAAAUAUGCGAUAUACUUGCACUCUACGUCAUGUCUACUGCGUAAAAAUAUACAUACACUGUUGCUAAACAGUUCAACAAGAUUUAUACAACGGUUAAACUAAAUUUAUAUCUGCGUGCUAAAAGGUUUCUCUUAAAGUUACUCGAGAUCGCAAUUGAGGAUUCGUAAGUAUGUAUACAGGUAAAGUACAUAGUUAUAACAAUUUCACAAGCAACAUUAUAACAAGCAUUUUAAUUAACACUUCUAUUUUUCUCAAAAUUAUUUUAAUUUCGAAAGCUAUAUUUUUUAACAACGAGCAAAUGAAUAUAUGAAUAUUUAUAUAAUAAUACUAAUAUUUGCGGUUUUGAGUUUUCAGAUAUUUAAAGCCUAUGCUCUCUCUCUCCGUGAAAGCGAAAAGCAGAUGUGAUGAAUCCAUUAUUCUCGAAAAAUUAUCAUUCUAUUUCUAUUUUUAUUUCUUUCUUCCUUUUACCCUCUUUCUCUCUUUUUUACUCUUUCAUAAAUACUAUCGAAAAAUAUGUAGAAAUA